AUAACAUUAAGAUAUAUAUUGGUCCCCCUUCAAUCUCGUAUGCAUCAAUUUCUAUGGUAGGAAGAAGCUUCUGUCACCCUUGCCCUCCAAUGCAUAGCCCUAUCAGCAUACAACUUUCCCACUUCUUCGUUCAUGUAACCUUUUGUCACUGCAAGUACUUCCCGACCGCUUCGCUUCCUUAUAUGUCCUUUCAGUAAUGCGCUCAUAGUUGGUUUGCGGUGGAGACGGUGGUGGUCGCUGCAGGGCAUCCAAAGUGUGCUUCGCUUUCACCGGAUCUAUCUUCUCCUCCGGAGGUGGAUGUUUCUUAGCUCUUUGCGUUUUGAAGUAGUCCUUCACUUGGGCUUGAUAGAUAUCCGCAUUUUCCUGUUCGGUCAUCUCGUAUGGUAAUUUUUCUGGAGUCUUGAAAGAUGGACCGAAUAUGUAUUGCCUCCCGCCUCUGGAUGUACUACUAGAUGCCGGAGCAGGCCGAGCGGCUGCGGCUGCCUUCUUUCGUUGCUUACAAGGUAGAGGAGAAGGACUACGACGCGCCGGAGCAGCCGGAGCGGCGGCGGGUCUCUUCCACCCUUGCUGAUAAGGCGGAGAAGGAGGAGGCUGGCUGGUCGGGCGCGGGCGGAGAAGUAGGAGGCUGGCUGGUCGGGCGCGCCGGCCCAAUCAAACCACAGCCAGGGCGCAUGGCUUCUCUCUCUGUCUUGCUCCUCUCUCGAUCCCCUCCAGGUCCAGCCGCCACCGCCGAACGCCGACCUCCGUCCUCUCCCCCAACCCCAACCCCAACUCCAACUCCGGCCUCCACUCCACCGCCGGCGAUCCAUCCGUUCCCCUUCUCUCCCUCGCCGUAGAUCCGCUCGAGCAGCGCAGCCCACGGUCAGAUCAGAUCCUCGCGCCCGAAACCCUAGACCUCCGGCCAUGGCGACCGGCCGUAGCACAGGUUGGAGGUGCCACCAUGGAUUCCUCUGCCGGGGACGCCGCCCAAGUGCUCCUCAAGGCCCGCUGCUCCUUCUUCCUCCUUUUCCUCAAAUUCAAGGGCAAGCAGCAGCACACGCCAUCCUCAAGGCGCACGGUUCUUCUCUUCUCUGAUGGAUGGAUGGAUGGAUGGAUGGGUUGGUCGUGGAGGAGGAGAACGACCAGGAGAAUAGGGAUCCCGUCUCUUCUCUUCUCUUCAUCAAUGCCGGCCAGGAACAAUGACCCAGCCACCCCUCAAGGAAAGGCAGGAGUGCAAACCCUUGGAGUUCAUGUAGAGGAAUCCGCUCUCAUGGGUCACAGAGGCCCUCCUCCCAUCAGAACCGGGCUGCCUGUUGUAUGUACAGCAUAAAGAUUUGGAUGCACACUGUGGUGGUUUCUUCAUAUUACACGUGCAGCCAGCCGUGUACGUCCAAACUCUACCUGCCGCUGUGUGAUGCCAGCGAUUUCACCCGCCACGCCGCGACCGUGGUGGUGGUGAUGUCUGGCCUCGGCUACAACUUGCGCAGGAUUUGGCCUCUGGAUAUGGUUCCUGUGAUGUUGCUUUGUUGGCUGCUCAUCGGGAACACACCAUUGCUGUUGUUGUACCUUCCCCAAGGUCACCCACAGCUCCAAGCUCGAGUCCAUGGAUCCCUGCUCCAGCGUCAAUGAUAGGAUCUGGUACAGCAGAGAAGAAGGGGUUCAUCAUCUUCCUCUGAGUGGCGGUGUUGUUUGGCAUCGGCUACACAACAGCCACACAAAAAGAUUUGGAUGCAGACUGUGGUGGUUACUUCAUAGUACACGUGCAACUGUGUAGGUUCAAACUCUCCCUGCCGUCGUGUGACGCCAGCGAUUUCACUCGCCAUGCCACGACCACGGCGGUGGCGAUGUCCGGCCUCGGCUACAACUUGCACAGGAUUUGGCCUCUGGAUGGAUGUUAUGGUUCAUGUGAUGUUACUCUGCUGGCUGUCAUCGGGAACAUGCCAUUGCUUUUGCUGUACCUCACCCAAGAUCACCCAUGACUCCCAGCUCGAGUCCUUGGAGCCUUGCUCCAGCGUCAAUGAAAGGAUCCAGUACAGUAGGGGGGAAGGGGUUCGUGCCAGGCACCUUGGCAUCUUUUGCUGUGCCGUGGUGCUGUUUGGCAUUGGCCACAAUAGCUACGGUGAGCUCCUUUGCUUCCUCUGCUCGCCUCUUAUUGCUCUGAUAGAUGGUUACAAUUUGGUUAGCAAGGUGUUGUAGGUCGAUGGAGGCUAUGGUCCCUGUGAUGUGUCUGGGGUUCAUGCGAAUUGUUGGUUAUGUUGCUAGUGCUACAAUCUGGAUUUUAUUCGUUACAAUAAGGGGUUCGUCGUGCCAGGCUCCGCGGCGCUGUUGCUUCCAUGUGAUGGUGUUGUUUGGCAUCGGCUACAAAAACAGCCACGAGGACCGGGAGCUUGCAGCAACAGCAUCUCCGACCCCUUCCUGAUGAGCUGCACGUUGUGGACCAGGUCCCAGUGGAGUUUCUUGUAUGUACCCACAAGGGCCGUCAUUGGCUCCACCUGCGCCCUCUUGCUGGCCUUCCAUAGAGGAUGAGGAGUUUGUGGUAGCAUCUCCGGCCCCUCCCUGACGAGCUGCAGGUCGUAGAUGAGGUCCUAGCCGAGGAGAACAUUCCCCUGGAGGAGGGUGUUUGACAACCUGAGGAAUGGCCGUGAUAUCCUCACCGCUGACAGCGCCUUCAAAUCUUAGGCCCAAACAAGCUUGAUUGACGAGGAACCCAAGUUCUUGGGUUCGUGGAGGCCGCUGCCAUCACGCUUGCCAAUGGAUGUUCUGGAGAGCAUAUCUAUGUGAAGAAAAGAAAAGGCUGCCACAGGACGCCGCUCAAGAGAAGAAAAUCUAUGCUGGAGAUGGGAGAGCAAGUUUUAUCUUGUGGAGGGCGAGAAGACGGACUGAUGGACCUUGUAGCGGCGCUUGGUUGUAAUUGAGCUCGUUUUGUGUUGGUGUUGUUUGCUCCUCUCGAGGACCAUUCAGUUUUUUUUAAGGGAGGACCAUUCAGUUUCUAAAGAAGGACAAGAGGCGCAACGAGUCCAGGAUAAAUAGUAAUACCUGUGCUGUGCAAUUGAAUCUCAAGGGGCUCAAUCCAGCAGCUCUCCACUAGUAGACUCUAAUGUCCAACGGGACUAGUGUAGUGAAAUCUUGUGAGAUGAUUUGUUGGUUGUCUCUAUUCUUCUGUACAUACGAAUUCUAAUUUGAGAGAUAUGAAAUCUAAAGAUGUUUGAAAGUUGCCACUGCAA